UACGGAGGAUCCAAGCGUUAUCCGGAUUUAUUGGGUUUAAAGGGUGCGUAGGCGGCUUAUUAAGUCAGGGGUGAAAGACGGUGGCUCAACCAUCGCAGUGCCUUUGAUACUGAUGAGCUUGAAUACACUUGAAGUAGGCGGAAUGUGACAAGUAGCGGUGAAAUGCAUAGAUAUGUCACAGAACACCAAUUGCGAAGGCAGCUUACUAAGGUGCAAUUGACGCUGAGGCACGAAAGCGUGGGGAUCAAACAGG
rnacentral:rRNA from 1 species